UUACUUUUUAUGUUCACACUUGCACACGUGUGGUAACACAGUGUCAGUACAGAGGGAGCAGUUUGGGUUAUCCUAUAACUGAUCUGAGCACCAGAAGAAAUAAAACAAGUGCUGCUAGAACAGCAUAAUCAAGGCACACCUGAUAGCCAAAUGCAUUGCCUUCAAAAGAUAGCUAUCCCCGAGUGGUUUUAUUUUUCAUACUUUUAUUUAAUCGGUCUUGGCUGAUUAUCCCUAAGUGCUGGAGAGAAACCUAUCUCACAUUUUCAUGCGUGAAAUUUGCUUUGGCAAGGCAGACAAAAUCAGCAGAAGCAGCUAUUUCCCUGCCUCCAAAGGCGCAGCAGCUGAACUGAACGGAGAGCUGAGUUCGUCACUUUGGGGCAGAGAAGGUGAGGUGACCUGUCACAGCAGGUGGCCACCCCCAGCCCAAUCCCCAGCUCCUGCCCCCACAUGCCCAGUGCUUGAAUGGCUAUCCAGCAACACCAGGCUGGCAGCAAAGAGGCAGGCAUAGAUGCUGCGAGAGCUGGAGCUGCAGAACUGUGCUGAUGGCUCAGGGCCCAGAGCUGUUUUCUCCCAAGCUGAAGAGCAGAGAAAUCUGACAGCCCUGCCAGUGACUGAGAACUUCAGGAUGGGAGAGGAUUUGGGAAACUGCCCUGAAAAAGUCUGCCUUUUCAGUGCCUCUCCAUUCUUUCUGAGAAGAAAUUUGCCUUGGUACCCAAACUGAAUUGCCCAUGGUGCAGUUUAAGGCCCCACUUGUCCUAUUACUGAUACCUGGAAGAAGAGGCCAACCUCUACUUCGUUACAGUUCAACUCAGGGCCAAGAGGCCUCAGCUAUACCACCUUGUAGUGGAAGUCAUGGCUUGAACCAGUGAUUGAGCACCUGGAGAGAAGGCAGGGCCAACCCAAGGGAGGUCAGCUGUAUGCAAUGCCCCUAAGUGACCAGAAGUGGUGAAGCCAGGAUCCACCCCCCUUCCCAAACCUCAUUUAAGGGUUGGCAGUGGAGGUGAGAGUAUUUUGCUGGAGAUCCUUCUGUACCUGAUGUCAUCUGAAGGUCAUCAGGACAUCCACAGUGGGGAUGUUGGGUUUCUUCAUUUCACCUAUCAGUGACGCUGGAAAGAGGGUGAUGAUGAAAACAGCGAAUGAGGCAAGGCUGAUUUCCAACUGCAUCAGGAAGAAUGCCUUCCCUCUCCUGGAACACUGCUGAUGAAGCUGUGCAUUUGCUGCUUGUCACUAAAUCAAGGAAGGGCCAGAGCCAGCAGGACCCUUCACCUCUCCUUAGUAUCAUAGAAUGGCUUGGGCUGAAAGGGACCUCAAAGAUCGUCUGGUUCCAACCAGCCCCGGGGUCUGCAUCCUAUCAGCACACAUUUGGAAAUUACGGAGAAACAGCAUGAAUAUGAUGUCCUAUUCCACAGCUCUUUGAGCAGCAUAAUGGCAGCGUACAGGCCUCAGGGCAGAGACAUGGAGGGGUUGUAGAUUCCCCUGCUCUCCUCCUGCAAAAGUGUUCUGCACCUUUUCAGCAAGGUGCAAUUUAGGUGUAAAAUAUUUUGCCUCUCCCGUGAGCAAUAAUGCGAGAAGCAAACUGAUUUGGAAUUUGGCCCAGAGAAUUCAUUCAGUAAUAAAUAAUGGAUCACUUUUCAUUUGAAGUAGACACAUUACCAUGACAAUGCAGCAAUGGAGAGGGGUACGGAAGGAACUUGCCAAUGCAGAAAUGUUCUGUCUCUCUAGAGCAGAGUAUGCUGGAGAGUAUGGAUGUGCAAUGAACAUGCAGCCACCCAAGACCCUUGGUGACUUAGAGCCUGCAGCAAGAGCUGCACUCCCUCUAGGUACCACCCUUCCUCUCCUUAACACCUCCUACAGAUGAGCCCCACCCGUGCAUCGGGAACUCAUCAAGGAGUGCUGAUGGGCAGCAGCUAGGAGACAAAUGGAAUGAGGUCAGAGAGAACUAAGGCACCCUGUAAGGAGUUGAUCAGAGUGUGGAGGUUAUGUCCUGAAGGGAGCUAAUGUGAAUUACUGGGAAUGCGAAGCCAUGUGUGACUUUUGCACAUAUUUGAGGUUUUCCUGUUGAUGGGACCUUGCCAACAGCCUAAGGAAAAGUAAAGUGGCUAGAACAUCUCUGAGUGAAAAGCAGAUCACAACUUGGCACAAAGCUGCUUCUGUUGGCAGUGCAUAAUUGAUGUGAAAUAUAUUACAAGAAAGAAAUCAGCUUCUUCAGGGCACUACCACUAAUGGGGGUUGAACAGUUUCUAUUUCUGGCUGAAUUAGUCUGAGUGUGAAGCGUGACAGAUUGAAUUGCUGCCCAGCAUUUUAUUAGGUUUAUUUACUUAAAGGCAAAAAGCACAGGAAGUCAAGAU